rnacentral:lncRNA from 1 species
GAUCUCCACCUUUUCCCAGAAAAGACAUGAAUAUUCCUCCCCUUUAUUAACCUAGCUCUUUUCCUCUUAUUUCUAUCCUGUAUCUGUAACGUCUCUAACCCCCUAGAGGAAGGAAGUUGAUUUGCAAGCAAAGUUCCUCCUCCAUUCUUUUGGCCACUGAAUAAAACCUUUGUUUCUCCUCAACAGGUAACUUUCAGAAGUUGGAUUUUCUUUGCUGUCCAGAGAACCUAGGUUCAGGAACAGUAUUCCUAUCAUCAAGGUCCCAGAUUUCAGCUAAGCCCUAAGCUCAGUGGGCUGAUUACAGCAUUGACAGGAAAGAGGCUAAACAAUAAAUGCCAGGAUGCUGCUGAGAGCCCUGGUGGGAAUGCAAGUCUUUGGAAAGACUCUUUUUGUGACCUUCCUUCUUACUUCUAUUAAGUAUCACGUCUCACGUUUGUUCUUCCCUAAGUGUAUGAGAAUGAAAUGCAAAACAAAGCAAAAUAUUAGUGGAAUAUUCAAGACUGUCAAAUUAGUAAGAAGAUAGAAGAUACUGGUGAAGACAAACAAAAUGUAACAUAUAAAGAAGGAAUUGGAAAUAGCCAGAAAACUUAGCAGGUACUAAAUUAGUAUGUUAAAAGAAUUAAAUGAGUUCUCCCACAAGAAAUUAUAUUAUUUUCCAAAGCAUUAUGAUGGAAAGAGAUUAGGGUUUCUGAUGGAAAGCCAGGUAUAAGCAAUCUUUUGUUAGCUUUCCAGAAAGAUUAAAAGAUUAUACCCAAAAAAUUCCCUUGAGAAGUGGCUGGUGUAAGAAUACCCUGGAAAUCAGUAAGUAAUCCAACUUCAAAAAAAAUAA